GCGGCCCCCGGCCCGGCGGGCGGUGAGUUCCAGGCGGGCCAGCAGGUCGACGACGGCGAUCCCCGGCGGUCCCAGCCCGCCGACGUCGCA
rnacentral:tRNA from 1 species